rnacentral:rRNA from 1 species
UGCAAGUCGAACGGCAGCACGGGAGCAAUCCUGGUGGCGAGUGGCGAACGGGUGAGUAAUAUAUCGGAACGUGCCCAGUCGUGGGGGAUAACGCAGCGAAAGCUGUGCUAAUACCGCAUACGAUCUACGGAUGAAAGCGGGGGAUCGCAAGACCUCGCGCGAUUGGAGCGGCCGAUAUCAGAUUAGGUUGUUGGUGGGGUAAAAGCCCACCAAGCCGACGAUCUGUAGCUGGUCUGAGAGGACGACCAGCCACACUGGAACUGAGACACGGUCCAGACUCCUACGGGAGGCAGCAGUGGGGAAUUUUGGACAAUGGGCGCAAGCCUGAUCCAGCAAUGCCGCGUGCAGGAUGAAGGCCUUCGGGUUGUAAACUGCUUUUGUACGGAACGAAACGGCCUACUCUAAUACAGUGGGCUAAUGACGGUACCGUAAGAAUAAGCACCGGCUAACUACGUGCCAGCAGCCGCGGUAAUACGUAGGGUGCGAGCGUUAAUCGGAAUUACUGGGCGUAAAGCGUGCGCAGGCGGUUAUAUAAGACAGAUGUGAAAUCCCCGGGCUCAACCUGGGACCUGCAUUUGUGACUGUAUAGCUAGAGUGCGGCAGAGGGGGAUGGAAUUCCGCGUGUAGCAGUGAAAUGCGUAGAUAUGCGGAGGAACACCGAUGGCGAAGGCAAUCCCCUGGGCCUGCACUGACGCUCAUGCACGAAAGCGUGGGGAGCAAACAGGAUUAGAUACCCUGGUAGUCCACGCCCUAAACGAUGUCAACUGGUUGUUGGGUCUUCACUGACUCAGUAACGAAGCUAACGCGUGAAGUUGACCGCC